rnacentral:rRNA from 1 species
UACGUAGGGUGCAAGCGUUGUCCGGAAUUAUUGGGCGUAAAGAGCUCGUAGGCGGUUUGUCACGUCGGCUGUGAAAACCUAGGGCUCAACCUGGGCCUGCAGCCGAUACGGGCAAACUGAGAAUUCGGUAGGGGAGACUGGAAUUCCGUGGUGUAGCGGUGAAAUGCGCAGAUAUCAGGAGGAACACCAAUGGCGAAGGCAGCUCGCUGGGACGGUACUGACGCUGAGGUGCGAAAGCGUGGGGAGCGAACAGGAUUAGAA